rnacentral:rRNA from 1 species
CAACUUUCAACAACGGAUCUCUUGGCUCUCGCAUCGAUGAGAACGCAGCGAAAUGCGAUACGUAAUGUGAAUUGCAGAAUUCAGUGAAUCAUCGAAUCUUUGAACGCACCUUGCGCCCCUUGGCAUUCCGAGGGGCACACCCGUUUG